AAGUCGAGCGGCAAGGUGGAGCAAUCCAUCCUAGAGCGGCGGACUGGUGAGUAACGCGUGGGUGACCUACCUUAAGGUUGGGGAUAGCCGUUAGAAAUAGCGGGUAAUACCGGAUGUGGUCUGUUUGUUAUGGCGGACAGAAGAAAGGGGCUUUGGCCCCGCCUUGGGAAUGGGCCCGCGUUUCAUUAGCUAGUUGGUGGGGUAAAGGCCCACCAAGGCGAUGAUGGGUAGCCGGCCUGAGAGGGUGAACGGCCACAUUGGGACUGAGAUACGGCCCAAACUCCUACGGGAGGCAGCAGCUAAGAAUAUUCCGCAAUGGGCGAAAGCCUGACGGAGCGACGCCGCGUGUACGAGGAAGGCCGAAAGGUUGUAAAGUACUUUUGCCGCUGAAGAAUAAGGCGGGGAGGGAAUGCCCCGGUGAUGACUCUAGGCGGCGAAUAAGCCCCGGCUAAUUACGUGCCAGCAGCCGCGGUAACACGUAAGGGGCGAGCGUUGUUCGGAAUUAUUGGGCGUAAAGGGCGCGUAGGCGGUCAGGCAAGUCCGGUGUGAAAUGGCGGAGCUCAACUCCGCAACGGCAUUGGAAACUGCGUGACUAGAGUCAUGGAGGGGGAGUUGGAAUUCCUGGUGUAGGGGUGAAAUCUGUAGAUAUCAGGAAGAACACCGGUGGCGAAGGCGAACUUCUAGCCGAUGACUGACGCUGAGGCGCGAAAG
rnacentral:rRNA from 1 species